GGUAUCAUCAGGAGAGUAGAGACUAGAGACUGGUUCACAGGAGAGAGGAGGGUAGAGACUAUAGACUGGUAUCAUCAGGAGAGUAGAGACUAUAGACUGGUAUCAUCAGGACGGUAGAGACAAUAGACUGGUAUCAUCAGGUGGUAGAUAUAGACUGGUACCAUCAGGAGAGAGGAGAGUAGAGACUAAAGACUGGUAUCAUCAGGAGAGUAGAGACUAUAGACUGGUAUCAUCAGGAGGGUAGAGACUAUAGACGGUAUCAUCAGGAGGGUGACUAUCGACUGGUAUCAUCAGGAGAGAGGAAGUAGAGACUAUAGACUGGUAUCAUCAGGAGAGGAGGGUAGAACUAUAGACGGUAUCAUCAGAGGGUAGAGACUAUAGACUGUGAAUCAGGAGAUUAGAGACUAUAGACUGGCAUCGUCGGA
rnacentral:lncRNA from 1 species